rnacentral:lncRNA from 1 species
GGCUAUAUACAGGGGGUACCGGUACAGAGUCAGUGUGGAGGCUAUAUACAGAGGGCACCGGUACAGAGUCAGUGUGGAGGCUAUAUACAGGGGGUACCGGUACAGAGUCAGUGUGGAGGCUAUAUACAGGGUGUUACGGUACAGAGUCAGUGUGGAGGCUAUAUACAGAGGGCACCGGUACAGAGUCAGUGUGGAGGCUAUAUACAGGGUGUUACGGUACAGAGUCAAUGUGGAGGCUAUAUACAGGGGGUACUGGUACAGAGUCAGUGUGGAGGCUAUAUACAGGGUGUUACGGUACAGAGUCAAUGUGGAGGCUAUAUACAGGGGGCACCGGUACUGAGUCAGUGUGGAGGCUAUAUACAGGGUGUUACGGUACAGAGUCAAUGUGGAGGCUAUAUACAGGGGGUACCGGUACAGAGUCAGUGUGGAGGCUAUAUACAGGGUGUUACGGUACAGAGUCAAUGUGGAGGCUAUAUACAGGCGGUACCGGGACAGUCAGUGUGGAGGCUAUAUACAGGGGGUACCAGUACAGAGUCAGUGUGGAGGCUAUAUACAGGGGGUACCGGUACAGAGUCAAUGUGGAGGCUAUAUACAGGGGGUACUGGUACAGAGUCAAUGUGGAGGCUAUAUACAGGGGGUACUGGUACAGAGUCAAUGUGGAGGCUAUAUACAGGGUGUCAGGUACAGAGUCAGUGUGGAGGCUAUAUACAGGGUGUUACGGUACAGAGUCAAUGUGGAGGCUAUAUACAGGGGGCACCGGUACUGAGUCAGUGUGGAGGCUAUAUACAGGGUGUUACGGUACAG